AGAGUUUGAUCCUGGCUCAGAUUGAACGCUGCGGCACGCCUUACACAUGCAAGUCGAACGGUAACAGCACUUCGGUGGCUGACGAGUGGCGGACGGGUGAGUAAUACAUCGGAACGUGCCCGAUCGUGGGGGAUAACUACUCGAAAGAGUGGCUAAUACCGCAUACGAUCUACGGAUGAAAGCGGGGGAUCGCAAGACCUCGCGCGGACGGAGCGGCCGAUGGCAGAUUAGGUAGUUGGUGGGAUAAAAGCUUACCAAGCCGACGAUCUGUAGCUGGUCUGAGAGGACGACCAGCCACACUGGGACUGAGACACGGCCCAGACUCCUACGGGGGGCAGCAGUGGGGAAUUUUGGACAAUGGGGGAAACCCUGAUCCAGCCAUGCCGCGUGCAGGAUGAAGGCCUUCGGGUUGUAAACUGCUUUUGUACGGAACGAAAAGACUCUUUCUAAUACAGAGGGUUCAUGACGGUACCGUAAGAAUAAGCACCGGCUAACUACGUGCCAGCAGCCGCGGUAAUAC
rnacentral:rRNA from 1 species